rnacentral:tRNA from 1 species
AAUGCUGUGCCUGAUAAAAGGAUUACUAUGAUAGGGUAAAUAAUGUAUUUAAAUUUCUACCUGCAUUA